rnacentral:misc_RNA from 1 species
GCUUAUGAUUCUGCUGCAACCUUUUGUUUUCAGGCUGAGUGGAUGGCUCCAGAAGUGCUGAGAAAUGAGCCUUCAGAUGAGAAAUGUGAUGUAUAUAGCUUUGGUGUUGUACUAUGGGAGCUCUGUACUCUGCAGCAGCCAUGGGGAGGAAUGAACCCCAUGCAAGUCGUAGGUGCAGUUGGAUUUCAGCAUCGCCGUCUUGACAUACCAGAUGACAUGGAUCCAGCUAUUGCGGACAUCAUCAGAAAAUGCUGGCAAACGUGAGAACAAUU